UACGAAGGGGGCGAGCGUUGUCCGGAUUUAUUGGGCGUAAAGAGCUCGUAGGCGGCUUGUCGCGUCGACUGUGAAAUCCCGCGGCUCAACUGCGGGUCUGCAGUCGAUACGGGCAGGCUAGAGUUCGGUAGGGGAGACUGGAAUUCCUGGUGUAGCGGUGAAAUGCGCAGAUAUCAGGAGGAACACCGGUGGCGAAGGCGGGUCUCUGGGCCGAUACUGACGCUGAGGAGCGAAAGCGUGGGGAGCGAACAGG
rnacentral:rRNA from 1 species